ACCGCCAGCAUUAAGCAACAGUUAAGUCAAGGCUGCUUCAAGAACUCAAGACACAUAAGAAGAAAAGUAACUGCACUGAAUUCCAAAGACUGGGAUGGACCUCUUAAUGUCCAGUGUCUUUUGUCCUAAGAUUUGGUGCAAUAAGU